rnacentral:piRNA from 1 species
UUCACUGUCGAGCUCUGAUGCUGAGUGA